rnacentral:tRNA from 2 species
GCGGGUGUGGCGGAAUGGUAGACGCCGGGGACUUAAAAUCCCCUGGGCUUUGCCCGUGCCGGUUCGAGUCCGGCCACCCGCACCA